rnacentral:rRNA from 1 species
AGCGUACACGGUGGAUGCCCUGGCAGUCAGAGGCGAUGAAGGACGUGCUAAUCUGCGAUAAGCGUCGGUAAGGUGAUAUGAACCGUUAUAACCGGCGAUUUCCGAAUGGGGAAACCCAGUGUGUUUCGACACACUAUCAUUAACUGAAUCCAUAGGUUAAUGAGGCGAACCGGGGGAACUGAAACAUCUAAGUACCCCGAGGAAAAGAAAUCAACCGAGAUUCCCCCAGUAGCGGCGAGCGAACGGGGAGCAGCCCAGAGCCUGAAUCAGUGUGUGUGUUAGUGGAAGCGUCUGGAAAGGCGCGCGAUACAGGGUGACAGCCCCGUACACAAAAAUGCACAUGCUGUGAGCUCGAUGAGUAGGGCGGGACACGUGGUAUCCUGUCUGAAUAUGGGGGGACCAUCCUCCAAGGCUAAAUACUCCUGACUGACCGAUAGUGAACCAGUACCGUGAGGGAAAGGCGAAAAGAACCCCGGCGAGGGGAGUGAAAAAGAACCUGAAACCGUGUACGUACAAGCAGUGGGAGCACGCUUAGGCGUGUGACUGCGUACCUUUUGUAUAAUGGGUCAGCGACUUAUAUUCUGUAGCAAGGUUAACCGAAUAGGGGAGCCGAAGGGAAACCGAGUCUUAACUGGGCGUUAAGUUGCAGGGUAUAGACCCGAAACCCGGUGAUCUAGCCAUGGGCAGGUUGAAGGUUGGGUAACACUAACUGGAGGACCGAACCGACUAAUGUUGAAAAAUUAGCGGAUGACUUGUGGCUGGGGGUGAAAGGCCAAUCAAACCGGGAGAUAGCUGGUUCUCCCCGAAAGCUAUUUAGGUAGCGCCUCGUGAAUUCAUCUCCGGGGGUAGAGCACUGUUUCGGCAAGGGGGUCAUCCCGACUUACCAACCCGAUGCAAACUGCGAAUACCGGAGAAUGUUAUCACGGGAGACACACGGCGGGUGCUAACGUCCGUCGUGAAGAGGGAAACAACCCAGACCGCCAGCUAAGGUCCCAAAGUCAUGGUUAAGUGGGAAACGAUGUGGGAAGGCCCAGACAGCCAGGAUGUUGGCUUAGAAGCAGCCAUCAUUUAAAGAAAGCGUAAUAGCUCACUGGUCGAGUCGGCCUGCGCGGAAGAUGUAACGGGGCUAAACCAUGCACCGAAGCUGCGGCAGCGACGCUUAUGCGUUGUUGGGUAGGGGAGCGUUCUGUAAGCCUGUGAAGGUGUGCUGUGAGGCAUGCUGGAGGUAUCAGAAGUGCGAAUGCUGACAUAAGUAACGAUAAAGCGGGUGAAAAGCCCGCUCGCCGGAAGACCAAGGGUUCCUGUCCAACGUUAAUCGGGGCAGGGUGAGUCGACCCCUAAGGCGAGGCCGAAAGGCGUAGUCGAUGGGAAACAGGUUAAUAUUCCUGUACUUGGUGUUACUGCGAAGGGGGGACGGAGAAGGCUAUGUUGGCCGGGCGACGGUUGUCCCGGUUUAAGCGUGUAGGCUGGUUUUCCAGGCAAAUCCGGAAAAUCAAGGCUGAGGCGUGAUGACGAGGCACUACGGUGCUGAAGCAACAAAUGCCCUGCUUCCAGGAAAAGCCUCUAAGCAUCAGGUAACAUCAAAUCGUACCCCAAACCGACACAGGUGGUCAGGUAGAGAAUACCAAGGCGCUUGAGAGAACUCGGGUGAAGGAACUAGGCAAAAUGGUGCCGUAACUUCGGGAGAAGGCACGCUGAUAUGUAGGUGAAGUCCCUUGCGGAUGGAGCUGAAAUCAGUCGAAGAUACCAGCUGGCUGCAACUGUUUAUUAAAAACACAGCACUGUGCAAACACGAAAGUGGACGUAUACGGUGUGACGCCUGCCCGGUGCCGGAAGGUUAAUUGAUGGGGUCAGCGCAAGCGAAGCUCUUGAUCGAAGCCCCGGUAAACGGCGGCCGUAACUAUAACGGUCCUAAGGUAGCGAAAUUCCUUGUCGGGUAAGUUCCGACCUGCACGAAUGGCGUAAUGAUGGCCAGGCUGUCUCCACCCGAGACUCAGUGAAAUUGAACUCGCUGUGAAGAUGCAGUGUACCCGCGGCAAGACGGAAAGACCCCGUGAACCUUUACUAUAGCUUGACACUGAACAUUGAGCCUUGAUGUGUAGGAUAGGUGGGAGGCUUAGAAGUGUGGACGCCAGUCUGCAUGGAGCCGACCUUGAAAUACCACCCUUUAAUGUUUGAUGUUCUAACGUUGACCCCUAAUCGGGGUUGCGGACAGUGUCUGGUGGGUAGUUUGACUGGGGCGGUCUCCUCCUAAAGAGUAACGGAGGAGCACGAAGGUUGGCUAAUCCUGGUCGGACAUCAGGAGGUUAGUGCAAUGGCAUAAGCCAGCUUGACUGCGAGCGUGACGGCGCGAGCAGGUGCGAAAGCAGGUCAUAGUGAUCCGGUGGUUCUGAAUGGAAGGGCCAUCGCUCAACGGAUAAAAGGUACUCCGGGGAUAACAGGCUGAUACCGCCCAAGAGUUCAUAUCGACGGCGGUGUUUGGCACCUCGAUGUCGGCUCAUCACAUCCUGGGGCUGAAGUAGGUCCCAAGGGUAUGGCUGUUCGCCAUUUAAAGUGGUACGCGAGCUGGGUUUAGAACGUCGUGAGACAGUUCGGUCCCUAUCUGCCGUGGGCGCUGGAGAACUGAGGGGGGCUGCUCCUAGUACGAGAGGACCGGAGUGGACGCAUCACUGGUGUUCGGGUUGUCAUGCCAAUGGCACUGCCCGGUAGCUAAAUGCGGAAGAGAUAAGUGCUGAAAGCAUCUAAGCACGAAACUUGCCCCGAGAUGAGUUCU